CUGCUUCAUGUUACAAAAACACCUCUGGCCUCAGAAGGAAAGUUUCAUCCCAGCUCAGUGUCCAGGACUCUGGGUGACCUUAGUGUCCAGGGAACCUGUGGAAGGAAGAGACAGCAACUGGAGAAAAAGCCCAGGAGGCAGCCUGAUAUUGCAGUCACAGGAGACCAUCCUGGAACCGGCAUCCAGCAAGCUCGCAGCAAGAGCUUACCUGCUUCCCAGAAAAAAAGGGCCACAGCAGAGAAGUCUGAAGAACAUGUUGGCUCGGAGGGGAAAAAGAGGUGGCAAGUGGCCUUUUCUGUCAGGCUUACCUGUCCCCAUCAGCAGCCUCCUCGUGACGUGAUCACUGGCUCUUGCCUUUGUAGUCACCAUGUGUGUGAGAGACGAAAACAUGUCAGAGAAUGUGGAGGGCAGGGAGAGCGGGUGAAAACCACCAGCGGGAGUUUCAACCUGCUCUUGUUUCCUUUUUCCCAGAGGCUGCUCUUUUGCUAUUUUUUUAAUAAAUAUUAUAAAUAUUGUUCAUUUCUUGGCUUUUUAACUUGUCAGUUUGCCUUCUCCCCUUCUCCUUGCAUCUCAGGCCAUGAAUCAUAUAGCGUGGUGUUUAUCAAUCACAGUUUUGCCGCACUUAUGAAAUCACAGAGGGGUUACUUUACGUUAAAAAUGUCGAGCUACACAAAACAUAAUGACAAAUGCACAACGCAUCUAGGGAAACCAGAGCCUGACUCCUGUUGUCUGAGCGAUCAGCUGAGGAGAUGGGUUAUUGACGGAGAAUUUAAGCCUCCGUGUUAUUCUUCCAGAUGUCAUUGUCUGGAUAUCCAUUGCCCUGAAGUUUAUAUUUUUAUUCUCCGGCUUUUCAUUGUAUUCG
rnacentral:lncRNA from 1 species